rnacentral:rRNA from 1 species
UACGGAGGGUGCAAGCGUUAAUCGGAAUUACUGGGCGUAAAGCGCGCGUAGGCGGUUGAGUGAGUCAGAUGUGAAAGCCCCGGGCUCAACCUGGGAAUGGCAUUUGAUACUGCUUAGCUAGAGUCUGACAGAGGGUGGCGGAAUUCCGGGUGUAGCGGUGAAAUGCGUAGAUAUCCGGAGGAACACCGGUGGCGAAGGCGGCCACCUGGGUCAAGACUGACGCUGAGGUGCGAAAGCGUGGGGAGCAAACAGG